UAACCUGCCUGGUAGCGGGGGGUAACUAUUGGAAACGAUAGCUAAUACCGCAUAAGAGUAGAUGUUGCAUGACAUUUGCUUAAAAGGUGCAAUUGCAUCACUACCAGAUGGACCUGCGUUGUAUUAGCUAGUUGGUGAGGUAACGGCUCACCAAGGCAACGAUACAUAGCCGACCUGAGAGGGUGAUCGGCCACACUGGGACUGAGACACGGCCCAG
rnacentral:rRNA from 1 species